rnacentral:rRNA from 1 species
UAUAAUAAGCGGAGGAAAAGAAACUAACAAGGAUUCCCCUAGUAACGGCGAGUGAACAGGGAAGAGCUCAAAUUUGAAAUCUGGCGUGCUCAGUGCGUCCGAGUUGUAAUCUAUAGAGACGUUUUCCGUGCCGGACCGUGUCCAAGUUCCUUGGAACAGGAUAUCAAAGAGGGUGACAAUCCCGUACUUGACACGACCCCCGGUGCUCUGUGAUACGUCCUCUACGAGUCGAGUUGUUUGGGAAUGCAGCUCAAAAUGGGUGGUGAGUUCCAUCUAAAGCUAAAUAUUGGCGAGAGACCGAUAGCGAACAAGUACCGUGAGGGAAAGAUGAAAAGCACUUUGGAAAGAGAGUUAAACAGUACGUGAAAUUGUUAAAAGGGAAACGAUUGAAGUCAGUCGUGUCCGGGAGGCUCAGCCGAUCUUCGGUGUAUUCCUCUCGGACGGGUCAACAUCAGUUUUGUCCGGCGGAUAAGGGUGGCGGGAAUGUAGCACCUUCUUGGUGUGUUAUAGCCCGUCAUCGCAUACGUUGGGUGAGACUGAGGAAUGCAGCUCGCCUUCAUUGGCCGGGGUUCGCCCACGUUCGAGCUAGGAUGUGACGUAA